GUUUUAUUUCCUUAGUGCGGUGUUAUCAUGAAGCCCUUCAAGCCUGCAUAAACCAGAAUCAAAGAAAUAAUGCUUUAACAGUGUCCCCCCAGCAGACAGUGUAUAGUACAAGAGGCUGGAGCUACAGUAUGUGGGUGUUUCAGCACCAAGAGGAGCCGGGGGACCCUUGUGUCCAGGGGCCAGUUUCCUCCCUCGGGACUCCUCUAAGUGACUCCGGUGACCUGUUGCCCUCCUCGGUUGGUCGGCAUGCGCUCCAGCAGGUCGCAGCGAGAGGUCAGGGGGGUCGUUUGAAGCAACGUGGUGUCAAUGUGUGACCUUCUCGCAGACAAACAGGAGGAUUAAACGGCAAAUUAACUCUCCGAACAAGGUCAUGUUUUGAAUUUUGGGUUGAAGGACUUGACAAGAUUGCUGAUUUUAUGGAAAUUAACUCUAGUGCAAUUAUUCAUGGUUGUUUAGUUCCUGAAUUUGGCUUCCUAUCACAAUAUGACAACAGCUUAUUUUGUUUUUCAACUUAUUUCUUAGAAGAUAUACAAAUUAUUGCUAAAUUUUAUUUGAGAGGCUUCCAAGAAAAUACAGUUUUGGAUAUAUACAUAGACCCAUGAAUGUUUUUUUUUCUCUUUACCAAAUCAAAUUCAAUGUAAACAGCUAACCUGAACAAAGAAAAACCAAGAUAUGGUCAGAUUAUUGUUGAAAUGCCCCUUUAAUACACACAAUAAAGUCAGUGAAACACAAAUAUAA